GUUUCUAAUAAAGUGGCCAGCAAUCACAAGCUAGGUGUUUCUAAUAAAGUGGCCAGGAAUCACAAGCUGGGUGUUUCUAAUAAAGUGGCCACGAAGCACAAGAUGAGUGUUUCUAAUAAAGUGGCCAGGAAUCACAAGCUAGGUGUUUCUAAUAAAGUGGCCACGAAGCACAAGAUGAGUGUUUCUAAUAAAGUGGCCAGGAAUCACAAGCUAUGUGUUUCUAAUAAAGUGGCCAGGAAUCACAAGAUGAGUGUUUCUAAUAAAGUGGCCAGGAAUCACAAGAUGAGUGUUUCUAAUAAAGUGACCACGAAGCACAAGAUGAGUGUUUCUAAUAAAGUGGCCAGGAAUCACAAGCUAUGUGUUUCUAAUAAAGUGGCCAGGAAUCACAAGAUGAGUGUUUCUAAUAAAGUGGCCAGGAAUCACAAGAUGAGUGUUUCUAAUAAAGUGGCCAGGAAUCACAAGAUGAGUGUUUCUAAUAAAGUGGCCAGGAAUCACAAGCUGGGUGUUUCUAAUAAAGUGGCCAGGAAUCACAAGCUGGGUGUUUCUAAUAAAGUGGCCAGGAAUCACAAGCUGGGUGUUUCUAAUAAAGUGGCCAGGAAUCACAAGCUGGGUGUUUCUAAUAAAGUGGCCAGGAAUCACAAGCUGGGUGUUUCUAAUAAAGUGGCCAGGAAUCACAAGAUGAGUGUUUCUAAUAAAGUGGCCAGGAAUCACAAGAUGAGUGUUUCUAAUAAAGUGACCACGAAGCACAAGAUGAGUGUUUCUAAUAAAGUGGCCAGGAAUCACAAGCUAUGUGUUUCUAAUAAAGUGGCCAGGAAUCACAAGAUGAGUGUUUCUAAUAAAGUGGCCAGGAAUCACAAGAUGAGUGUUUCUAAUAAAGUGGCCAGGAAUCACAAGAUGAGUGUUUCUAAUAAAGUGGCCAGGAAUCACAAGCUGGGUGUUUCUAAUAAAGUGGCCAGGAAUCACAAGCUGGGUGUUUCUAAUAAAGUGGCCAGGAAUCACAAGCUGGGUGUUUCUAAUAAAGUGGCCAGGAAUCACAAGCUAGGUGUUUCUAAU
ensembl:lncRNA